ensembl:rRNA 5S_rRNA 5S ribosomal RNA
GUCGAUGGCCAUACCACCCUGAAUGCACCCAAUCUUGUCUGAUCUUUGAAGCUAAGCAGGAUAGGAGACAAAUAGUCAAAAUAGUCUGAACUAGUGCUUGGGUACUAAAUACUUGCAGAGUGUCUACCAAUGGAU